rnacentral:rRNA from 1 species
GAUGAACGCUGGCGGCGUGCCUAAUACAUGUAAGUCGAACGGAGUAUGUAGCGAUAUAUACUUAGUGGCGAACGGGUGAGUAACGCGUUGGUGACCUGCCCCGAAGAGGGGGAUAACAGUUCGAAAGGACUGCUAAUACCCCAUGUGGUCGUGAAGGUUAGAGGCUUUACGACUGAAGGAGUGAUCCGCUUCGGGAGGGGCCUGCGUCCCAUCAGCUAGUUGGUAGGGUAAAGGCCUACCAAGGCGAAGACGGGUAGGGGGCCUGAGAGGGUGACCCCCCACACUGGCACUGAAACACGGGCCAGACACCUACGGGUGGCAGCAGUAGGGAAUAUUGCACAAUGGGCGAAAGCCUGAUGCAGCAACGCCGCGUGCGCGAAGAAGGCCUUCGGGUCGUAAAGCGCUUUUUGAGGAGAUGAGAAAGGACAGUAUCCUCAGAAUAAGGCUCGGCUAACUACGUGCCAGCAGCCGCGGUAAAAC